GAGAAUCCUAUAUCCUUAUAUGUGUCUUCAUGGGUGGGUUUGAAUCAGGCAGCAGCUUACACGUCAACGUGGCCUUCUGGCUAUACAUCCUCUUUACCAGACCAUUCUUUCUAUCAUCUUUUUCUCAUUUUUCCCCUUCUUCAGCGAGGUUGAUGAACCCAUAAGGAAAUUCUUGCUCAGAUUCAGAUUGUUCCUGUGUAAUGCUGUGUGUAAGAAUAAAGAGGACAACAUUAUAAAAAUGGACAGUCUAGGGAGGCCAGGCCAUCCUCUUCAGAAUCCUGGGAGAGAACCUCGGAGAGAGGAGGAAGCUGGGAUGAGACAACAUCACUCACUCACUGUGAAAGUGGUAGGAGACCGAACCCAGGAAAUCUGCCCCAUAACAUCAGUUUAACCAUGGCUGAACCUGUAAGGAAUCCACUGUGACCUCACAUCUCAGACAGGAGAGGACAUCUCACACUCUCAUUAUCUGUUCUGAAAUGAAAUUGAUAAUAAAUACUUUGAUACUC